AUCAAACAUAAAGAGUUGCAUUUGUGUGAAUAUUGACUUACCGAUAGCAAUACUAUUUACUAUAAAGAUAGUAAGCAUCAUGUUCGUUGUUAUCACUAAUUGCUCAAUAAAUGUGCCUUAAUUAAUGCAUCGAAGGUGAAAGUUCAUAGUAUAUUAUACGGCAUAAAUGCAUAUAUCUUUUACGAAAGUCUCCAAAGUCACAACUAUCUGAAUCAGGAAAUACUAUAACUUGUUUACGUUUAAA
rnacentral:lncRNA from 1 species